rnacentral:tRNA from 1 species
GCAGUGGUGGUUCAGAGGUAGAAUUCUCACCUUCCAUGUGGGAGACUUGGGUUCAAUUCACAGCCAAUGCA